rnacentral:rRNA from 1 species
GCUCAAAUUUGAAAUCUGGCCCUCGGGUCCGAGUUGUACUUUGCAGAGGAUGCUUCUGGCGAGGCGCUGCCCAAGUCCCCUGGAACGGGGCGCCGGAGAGGGUGAGAGCCCCGUACGGUCGGCGGCCGAGCCUGUGCGAAGCUCCUUCGACGAGUCGAGUAGUUUGGGAAUGCUGCUCUAAGCGGGAGGUAGACCCCUUCUAAAGCUAAAUACCGGCCAGAGACCGAUAGCGCACAAGUAGAGUGAUCGAAAGAUGAAAAGCACUUUGAAAAGAGGGUUAAACAGCACGUGAAAUUGUUGAAAGGGAAGCGCUUGCGACCAGACGUGCGCCGGGGUGCUCCGCGGGCGUUCUCGCCCGCGCACUCGCCCCGGCGCAGGCCAGCGUCGGUUCGGAUGGGGGGACAAAGGCGCCUGGAACGUGGCUCCCCCGGGAGUGUUAUAGCCAGGCGCGCCAUGCCCCCGCCCGGACCGAGGUUCGCGUUCUGCAAGGACGCUGGCGUAAUGGUCCCCAGCGGCCCGUCUUGAAACACGGACCAAGGAGUCGAGGUUUUGCGCGAGUGUCUGGGUGACAAACCCGCACGCGCAAUGAAAGUGAACGCUGGUGGGAGCUUCGGCGCACCACCGACCGAUCCUGAAGUUUACGGAUGGAUUUGAGUACGAGCGCAGGGCCUCGGACCCGAAAGAUGGUGAACUAUGCUUGGAUAGGGUGAAGCCAGAGGAAACUCUGGUGGAGGCUCGCAGCGGUUCUGACGUGCAAAUCGAUCGUCAAAUCUGAGCAUGGGGGCGAAAGACUAAUCGAACCGUCUAGUAGCUGGUUACUGCCGAAGUUUCCCUCAGGAUAGCAGUGUUGAUCUCAGUUUUAUGAGGUAAAGCGAAUGAUUAGGGACU